rnacentral:rRNA from 1 species
AAUGAACGCUGGCGGCGUGCUUAACACAUGCAAGUCGAGCGAGAAAGCUCCUUCGGGAGUGAGUACAGCGGCGGACGGGUGAGUAAUACGUGAGAAUCUACCCUUUAGUGAAGAAUACCUCCGAGAAAUUGGAGUUAAUUCUGCAUAAGUCCCUUCGGGGAGAAAGAUGGCCUCUUUGCUGUCGCUAAAGGAUGAGCUUGCGCGCUAUUAGCUUGUUGGUGGGGUAAAGGCCUACCAAGACAAUGAUGGCUAGCCGGCCUGAGAGGGUGUACGGCCACACUGGAACUUAGACACGGUCCAG